rnacentral:rRNA from 1 species
GCAGGUGGCCGCAGAGAAUAGGCCCAAGCGACUGUUUACCAAAAACAUAGGUUUCUGCUAAGUCGCAAGACGAUGUAUAGGAGCUGACGCCUGCCCGGUGCUGGAAGGUUAAGGGGAUCUGUUAGAGUAAUCGAAGCAGUGAACUUAAGCCCCAGUAAACGGCGGCCGUAACUAUAACGGUCCUAAGGUAGCGAAAUUCCUUGUCGGGUAAGUUCCGACCCGAACGAAAGGCGUAACGAUUUGGGCACUGUCUCAACAACAGACUCGGUGAAAUUGUAAUUCC